AGAGUUUGAUCAUGGCUCAGAACGAACGCUGGCGGCGUGGAUAAGACAUGCAAGUCGAGCGCUAAUUUCAGGGUAGCAAUAUUCUGGAGUUGGAGCGGCGCAAGGGUGCGUAACACGUGGGUAAUCUGCCAUGAAGUUCGGGAUAACUUGCUGAAAGGCGAGCUAAUACCGGAUGUGACAACCGAGAGGCAUCUUUUGGUUGUUAAAGUUGGGGACCGUAAGCCUGACGCUUCUUGAUGAACCCGCGGCCUAUCAGCUAGUUGGUGAGGUAACGGCUCACCAAGGCUAAGACGGGUAGCUGGUCUGAGAGGACGACCAGCCACACUGGAACUGAGACACGGUCCAGACACCUACGGGUGGCAGCAGUCGAGAAUUUUUCACAAUGGGCGCAAGCCUGAUGGAGCGACGCCGCGUGGGGGAUGAAUGGCUUCGGCCCGUAAACCCCUGUCAUUCGCGAUCAAACCUCAUUAUUUAAAAGAUGAUGAGCUGAUAGUAGCGGAAGAGGAAGGGACGGCUAACUCUGUGCCAGCAGCCGCGGUAAUACAGAGGUCCCAAGCGUUGUUCGGAUUCACUGGGCGUAAAGGGUGCGUAGGUGGUGAGGUAAGUCGGAUGUGAAAGCUCGGAGCUCAACUCCGAAAUGGCAUUGGAAACUACCUUGCUCGAGGGUUGGAGGGGGGACUGGAAUACUUGGUGUAGCAGUGAAAUGCGUAGAUAUCAAGUGGAACACCAGUGGCGAAGGCGAGUCCCUGGACAACUCCUGACACUGAGGCACGAAAGCUAGGGGAGCAAACAGGAUUAGAUACCCUAGUAGUCC
rnacentral:rRNA from 1 species